CUGGGAUUUGUCAGCUCCUAGGAGCUAUGCCUCUAACAUACUAAUUUCUUCUCCUUGUAAGGUUGCUAGUGGUAAGGGAAAAAGUGCCCCUAUCGAAUCUCCUUUGGACUUCCCUCUAGUCCUUGGUCCCCCUCUAAUCAUAUAGUCGAUCCCACCUGAUGUUGCUCCUACUCUAAUUGUGGAGUCAAUUCCUUUUGAUGUUAAACCUUGUGAGGAUCAGCUGGACCCUCCCUUUGCUGGUACUGAUUUCAGGGACUCUACUCUAUUUUGGUUGUAUGACAAGGAGAUAGUGCCCCCACGAGUGUGGUGGUGACUCCUGUGGACUGUGAGAACUUGGAGGUGGC
rnacentral:lncRNA from 1 species